AUUGAACGCUGGCGGCAGGCCUAACACAUGCAAGUCGAGCGCGCGGCAGACGGGAGAGUAAUGUAUGGGUCUCUGCCCGAGAGAGGGGGAACUCUACUGGACACGGUCUCUAACACCGCAUACUAUCAUAUGGACCCAUAUGGGAUUAGCUAGUAGAUGGGGUAAAGCCUCACCUAGGCGACGAUCUCUAGCUGGUCUGAGAGGAUGAACAGCCACACUGGGACUGAGACACGGCCCAGACUCCUACGGGAGGCAGCAGUGGGGAAUAUUGCACAAUGGGCGCAAGCCUGAUGCAGCCAUGCCGCGUGUAUGAAGAAGGCCUUAGGGUUGUAAAGUACUUUCAGCGGGGAGGCGUUACCCGCAGAAGAAGCACCGGCUAACUCCGUGCCAGCAGCCGCGGUAAUUC
rnacentral:rRNA from 1 species